rnacentral:SRP_RNA from 1 species
CGGCGGACUAGGCCUGGAGGGCAGCAGUCUCCAAUCUCCAAACCUGCUUUAGGGAGGGCCGAACCCGGGGAGCGUUGCUUCUUGGGUCGCUGAGGCCUCGCGCCCAACGGUGAUCUCUUGUCCCGUUUGGUCACGCGCGGGUCGAACCGUGUCAGGCGGGGAACCGAGCAGCACUAAAACUCGCGCAGGACGCUUUCGGGAGCGCAGGAGAGAGGCAAGCCGAGACCACCCCAACGAUCCGGGGAGCGGCCACCCCCGAGCGUCUGCCA